rnacentral:rRNA from 1 species
UCCGGUGACUAUAUCAGAAAGGUCACACCCGUUCCCAUUCCGAACACGGUAGUUAAGCUUUCUGAGCCGAUGGUAGUGCAUUAGCGCGAGAGUAGGUGUUGCCGGUU